rnacentral:rRNA from 1 species
GAUAAACGCUGGCGGCGUGCCUAACACAUGCAAGUCGAACGCCCUACGCAAGUAGGGAGUGGCGGACGGGUGAGGAACACGUGGGGAUCUGCCCAGAGGUGAGGAAUACCGGCGAGAAAUCGCCGACAAUACCGCAUAGCCUUGCUUACGCAAGGAAAGUCGCAAGACGCCUGUGGAUGAACCUGCGUCCGAUUAGCUAGCUGGUGGGGUAAUGGCCUACCAGGGCAACGAUCGGUAGCUGGUCUGAGAGGACGAUCAGCCACACUGGGAUUGAGAA